rnacentral:rRNA from 1 species
AGCCUACGGGAGGCAGCAGUGAGGAAUAUUGGUCAAUGGGCGCGAGCCUGAACCAGCCAAGUCGCGUGAGGGAGGACGGCCCUACGGGUUGUAAACCUCUUUUGCCGGGGAGCAACGGGCGUCACGUGUGGCGCCACUGAGAGUACCCGGAGAAAAAGCAUCGGCUAACUCCGUGCCAGCAGCCGCGGUAAUACGGAGGAUGCGAGCGUUAUCCGGAUUUAUUGGGUUUAAAGGGUGCGUAGGCGGAAGGUUAAGUCAGCGGUCAAAUGUCGGUGCUCAACACCGGCCUGCCGUUGAAACUGGUC